rnacentral:rRNA from 1 species
AUUGAACGCUGGCGGCAGGCCUAACACAUGCAAGUCGAGCGGAUGAGGGAAGCUUGCUUCCCGAUUUAGCGGCGGACGGGUGAGUAAUGCCUAGGAAUCUGCCUAUUAGUGGGGGAUAAAGUUCCGAAAGGAACGCUAAUACCGCAUACGUCCUACGGGAGAAAGUGGGGGAUCUUCGGACCUCACGCUAAUAGAUGAGCCUAUGUCGGAUUAGCUAGUUGGUGAGGUAACGGCUCACCAAGGCGACGAUCCGUAGCUGGUCUGAAAGGAUGAUCGUCUGAACUGGAGCUCAGUCACGGACCAGACUCCUACGGGAGGCAGCAGUGGGGAUUAUUGGACAAUGGGCGAAAGCCUGGUCCAUCCAUGCCGCGUGUGUGAAGAAGGUCUUCGGAUGGUAAAGCACUUUCAGCGGGGAGGAAGGCGGUGAAGUUAAUAGCUUCACCGAUUGACGUUACCCGCAGAAGAAGCACCGGCUAACUCCGUUCCAGCCGCCGCCGUAACAC